CCUCAAUAAGAAAUGUAGUCAAAAUUUUUGUCAAUCCUCUCCAGGUUCCUCAGCCAGUGUGCAGUUGCUUUGAGAUGCUCAUAUGUUCACAGGAGGGAGAACAUCAUUUACAACUGCAGGACACCCCCGGUGUGUCCGUGUGUGCACCUGGUUGGAUGCUCCUUGUCCAGCUCCAUGUGGACCUGCCUGGUGCAAAGGUGGUGAUUGCAUCACUUCCAAGAGGGCUGGGAUAUUUAAGAUCUCCCACUGUUUUAAUGUUUUUCUUGGAUCCCUGAGGUUGCUUUCUGUAAAAGCUGCAUCAGAGUUUUGCUCAGAGGAAGAAGGAGACGCAAAUUCCAGAAGUGCCACCUGUGGGACACAGUGAGAGGUAUCACUGCAGUGCUUGAGGACACCACGGGCUCCAUGGUGUGGGGAAAACCUUUGAGUCCACCCCUGCUCAUCCAUGCAGAGAGGGAUGGGAAAAGCUCCCCGGUGGCCUGGGAAUUCUGCACUCGUGACCCAGAGCCGUGUCCUGAGGGCUCCCGGCUCCACUCCUCCGGCAGGAGCAGCCAUGUGUCGCCUUGGAUGGCUCCCUGCUCUGCCUCAAUAGCUGUUUGUCAUGAUCCUUAAUGCCACAGCUGCUUGCUUGUGCCAGGUCAUCUGCUUUUAUUAGUCCUGCUCCACCACCCACUGAAACUCACACCAGCCAGGAGAUCGUUAUCCACAUCCAAAAAUAGCAAUCCUCUGGCCCUGCUCUUCCAGAGACCUGGGAAACUUGGGGGUUUUCCUCCUUUUCUCCAGUUGUGCUGGUUUCCCCCCUGCUGCCCCAUGAAGGCCGGAGCAGCCGCCCUGGCAGCCGGGAUCCUCGGAGGCACCGGGGUGUUGCUCUUCCUCAUUGCCUUUGGGACGGAUUAUUGGCUUCUGGCCACGGACACCUGCGCGGUCUUCGAGCAUGGGAACAGCACUCUGAGCACCGGAGUGGCUGAAACUCCAACAGAGGUUGGGAAGGAGAUCCUCACUUUCCACCACGAGGGUUUCUUCUGGCGGUGCUGGUUCUUUGGCGAGGGCCACCCUGAGACCAUCUGGACCUUCUGGUACACCAGCCAAGCACACUCCAAGUUCUGCAUGCAUGGCUACCUCUUCCCCAUGCCCAUUGCUCUCGGACCUUUCCCCCAUCCCUCCUACGACACAACUGCAGUGUACAGAGGCUUUUGGACGGCGUUCAUCCUGCUGGCCGUGGCUGCUGGGCUCGUGGGGGGGCUCCUGCUGGUGUGUGGGGUCCCCUUCUCCAGUCCCCGCUCCUACAAAGUCGGGGGAGGAUUCCUGCUGCUCUCAGGAGGUUUGUUCCUCCUGCUCGUGUUUCUCUUUGUGAUGUGGAAGGAGUUUGCAGCUGACUUCCAGAAGUACAUCCUCCUGGAGAGGAGCGAGAAGUGCCUGGAUGAUGUCCCUGUGCACGUCUACUAUGGGUGGUCCUUCAUGUUUGCUGCUGCUGGGGUGCCCCUGGUGUUACUCUCUGGACUCCUCUUCUUCCUGGUGGGCAGAGACAUUAUGGAUUCCCUGCAGUAAGACAAAUGUGGAGAAGGCUUUGAGAAAAUUGGUGAUGCUCCUUGGAAAGAAACACGCCCAAAUUCUGAGGACUUGAUAAUUUUUGUAGCUACAAUUAUCAGGCUGGCUCUAAUUGACAUCAAAGGACAACCAUUUUAAUGGGAUGUCGGGAAACAUGAGAAACUUUUUUCUUCCUUAAAAGCCCUGAUUCCGAAGAUACAAAUAUACCUGGACCUAAGCUAACUUUCAUUAAGGGAAUAAACCAAUUUCUGUGGCUUGAAACAUAA